GGCGGCGUGGCGGAAAGGCAAGACGCGGAAAUUAGUAAAAUAGUGGUCAUUUGAGUGACCUAACCAGCAUUUUUUAUUUUAGGGGAAUUUCUGACCAUAUGGUUUUGCAGGUUCAAAUCCUGUCGCCGUCU
rnacentral:tRNA from 1 species